AUAAAAUAAAGUCAUUUUCUUCACCUUUUUCCACCGAAAACAAGAGAAAGAAACUUUGUUCUUCAAGCUUUAGCAUUCGGCCAUCUUAGGGAUUUCAAUUCAAGAUCAAGAAACCGAGAAAUCGGAUUUAGAUCGGGGGAAAUCGAAAGUAGUUGAGUAGCCGAUCUAUUAGUCGACGACAUCCGAGAUUUUGGUGAUCACUACGUGUUCGGGGAUCGUCAGCUAAGCUUGUCACACUAUCGAUAUUUUCUUUUGGUAUUUUGCUAAAUCGUUCUCAAAUAUAUGGCAUGUAUAGUAUAGUUAAAAUAUUGAUUUUGGAACUAAUGUGUAUAUGUAUCUAAAAGCCAUGCUAAAAUGGCUUAUCUCUUUUGGCUUGAAUUCGGUAUUAAUGCAUAUGCUUUAAUGGUCUAAAA